GAUGAACGCUGGCGGCGUGCCUAAUACAUGCAAGUCGAGCGAACGGACGAGAAGCUUGCUCUUCUGAUGUUAGCGGCGGACGGGUGAGUAACACGUGGAUAACCUACCUAUAAGACUGGGAUAACUUCGGGAAACCGGAGCUAAUACCGGAUAAUAUUUUGAACCGCAUGGUUCAAAAGUGAAAGACGGUCUUGCUGUCACUUAUAGAUGGAUCCGCGCUGCAUUAGCUAGUUGGUAAGGUAACGGCUUACCAAGGCAACGAUGCAUAGCCGACCUGAGAGGGUGAUCGGCCAGACUGGAACUGAGAAACGGUCCAGACUCCGACGGGAGGCAGCAGUAGGGAAUCUUCCGCAAUGGGCGAAAGCCUGACGGAGCAACGCCGCGGGAGUGAUGAAGGUCUUCGGAUCGUAAAACUCUGUUAUUAGGGAAGAACAUAUGUGUAAGUAACUGUGCACAUCUUGACGGUACCUAAUCAGAAAGCCACGGCUAACUACGUG
rnacentral:rRNA from 1 species